GGGUAUAGCUCAGAGGUAGAGCCCAUGCUUGGCAUGCUUGAAGUCCUGGGUUCCAUCCCCAGUACCUCCA
rnacentral:tRNA from 1 species